rnacentral:rRNA from 1 species
AUUGAACGCUGGCGGCAGGCCUAACACAUGCAAGUCGAACGAGUGGCGGACGGGUGCGUAAUGUCUGGGAAACUGCCUGCUGGAGGGGGAUAACUACUGGAAACGGUAGCUAAUACCGCAUACCAUCGGAGGUGCCCAGAGGGGAUUAGCUAGUAGGUGGGGUAAAGGCUCUCCUAGGCGACGAUCCCUAGCUGGUGUGAGAGGUUGACCAGCCACACUGGAACUGAGACACGGUCCAGCAUCCGACGGGAGGCAGAAGUGGGGAAUAUUGCACAAUGGGCGCAAGCCUGAUGCAGCAAUGCCGCUUGGAUGAAGAAGGCCUUCGGUUUGUAAAGUACUUGCAGCUGGGAGGCGUUACCCGCAGAAGAAGCACCGGCUAACUCCGUGCCAGCAGCCGCGGUAAUAC